GCAAGUCGAGCGGUAAGGCCCUUCGGGGUACACGAGCGGCGAACGGGUGAGUAACACGUGAGCAACCUGCCCCUGACUCCGGGAUAAGCGGUGGAAACGCCGUCUAAUACCGGAUACGACCCGCCACCUCAUGGUGGAGGGUGGAAAGUUUUAUCGGUCAGGGAUGGGCUCGCGGCCUAUCAGCUUGUUGGUGGGGUAACGGCCUACCAAGGCGAUUACGGGUAGCCGGCCUGAGAGGGCGACCGGCCACACUGGGACUGAGACACGGCCCAGACUCCUGCGGGAGGCAGCAGUGGGGAAUAUUGCACAAUGGGCGAAAGCCUGAUGCAGCGACGCCGCGUGGGGGAUGACGGCCUUCGGGUUGUAAACCUCUUUUACCACCAACGCAGGCUCCACGUUCUCGUGGGGUUGACGGUAGGUGGGGAAUAAGGACCGGCUAACUACGUGCCAGCAGCCGCGGUAAUACGUAGGGUCCGAGCGUUGUCCGGAAUUAUUGGGCGUAAAGAGCUCGUAGGCGGCAUGUCGCGUCUGCUGUGAAAGACCGGGGCUUAACUCCGGUUCUGCAGUGGAUACGGGCAUGCUAGAGGUAGGUAGGGGAAACUGGAAUUCCUGGUGUAGCGGUGAAAUGCGCAGAUAUCAGGAGGAACACCGGUGGCGAAGGCGGGUUUCUGGGCCUUACCUGACGCUGAGGAGCGAAAGCAUGGGGAGCGAACAGGAUUAGAUACCCUGGUAGUCCAUGCCGUAAACGUUGGGCGCUAGGUGUGGGGACUUUCCAC
rnacentral:rRNA from 1 species